UACGGGGGGGGUAAGCGUUGUUCGGAAUUACUGGGCGUAAAGGGCUCGUAGGCGGCCAACUAAGUCAGACGUGAAAUCCCUCAGCUUAACUGGGGAACUGCGUUUGAUACUGGAUGGCUUGGAUCCGGAAGAGGGAUGCGGAAUUCCAGGUGUAGCGGUGAAAUGCGUAGAUAUCUGGAGGAACACCGGUGGCGAAGGCGGCAUCCUGGGCCGGUAUUGACGCUGAGGAGCGAAAGCCAGGGGAGCAAACGGG
rnacentral:rRNA from 1 species